rnacentral:rRNA from 1 species
UACAGGGGGUGCGAGCGUUAAUCGGAAUUACUGGGCGUAAAGCGUGCGUAGACGGUUAUGUAAGUCAGGUGUGAAAGCCCCGGGCUCAACCUGGGAAUUGCAUUUGAGACUGCAUAGCUAGGGUGCGGAAGAGGGAAGCGGAAUUUCCGGUGUAGCGGUGAAAUGCGUAGAUAUCGGAAGGAACAUCAGUGGCGAAAGCGGCUUCCUGGUCCAGCACCGACGUUCAGGCACGAAAGCGUGGGGAGCAAACAGG